rnacentral:rRNA from 1 species
UACGUAGGGGGCGAGCGUUAUCCGGAAUUACUGGGCGUAAAGCGCACGCAGGCGGUUCGCCAAGUUUGGAGUGACAGUUGUCGGCUCAACCGACAAAGGACUUCAAAAACUGGUGAACUUGAGGACGAGAGAGGAACAUGGAACUCCAGGUGUAGUAGUGAAAUGCGUAGAUAUCUGGAAGAACACCAAUGGCGAAGGCAAUGUUCUGGCUCGUUUCUGACGCCCAGGUGCGAAAGCCAGGGGAGCGAACGGG